UACAGAGGGUGCGAGCGUUGUCCGGAAUCACUGGGCGUAAAGGGCGCGUAGGUGGCGCCCCAAGUCCGUGGUGAAAGCUCGAUGCUCAACAUCGAGUCGGCCACGGAAACUGGGGGGCUCGAGCACUGUAGGAGGCAGAUGGAAUUCCGGGUGUAGCGGUGGAAUGCGUAGAGAUCCGGAAGAACACCGGGUGGCGAAGGCGGUCUGCUGGGCAGUAGCUGACACUGAGGCGCGGACAGCGUGGGGAGCAACG
rnacentral:rRNA from 1 species